GGACAUUAACUCGGAAUUUCUCAUGUUAAAAAAAACACCCUGAGACAUUUUUGUUGCCGGUCACGCUGAGUCAGUCCGGAUCGGUGAUAGACUCAGCAAGAUGACUCAUUUGCACUCGGUAAUUUGACCCAGCUGCUCUCGCUGGUUCAUCCUUUGCUAAAUCCACACUCUCACUCUUCAGGUAUGAUCUGGGCAUGAGAUGCAGACCCAGCUUUCAGUCUUUACGUGAGAGUUCUGCCAAUAUGUCCCAGAUCUGAGACAAGUAGUCAAGUCAAAUUGCAAAAGCAUUGACAUGGCUUAAUGAGUAGUUCUGAUAAGGCCUGUCAUUGGCGAUUGUUACUUCACCAUCUUUUCGGAAAAUGAGCGAACUCUUCAGUGACACUUCGUGCAGACAACUAUCUCAAUUUAUUGUUGCUAUAAUUUUUUUUCAUGUUUCGGAGUAUAUUCUAGCCGUCUGUAGUCAAGGGAGAUCAAAUGUGACUCUGAAAUCUCUUUUGAUCAGCAAAAAUUAUGUUGUGGCAAUGAUAUGCUCGUUGCUUGAGUACUGGCUUGAAAUCACCUUUUUUCCCGGAUUGAAAGAGUAUUGGUGGGUAAGCAACUCAGGCCUUUUCAUGGUUGUCUUUGGAGAAACGAUACGGAAAGUGGCAAUGGUAACAGCUGGUCAUGCUUUCACACAUUUGAUUAAAACCCAUCAUGAGGAGCAACACAGACUAAUAACUCACGGAAUUUAUGGAUUUGUGAGGCAUCCAGGUUAUUGCGGCUUUUUCAUCUGGUCAGUUGGCACUCAGAUUAUGCUGUUGAAUCCCAUUUGUACCCUAGCAUUUGCUGUGGUUGUUUGGAAGUUCUUUGCUGGACGCAUACCAUAUGAAGAAUUUUUCUUGAGACAGUUUUUUGAUGAUGAAUAUGAAGAGUAUGCUCAAAGGGUCCCGUCUGGUGUACCAUUUGUGAAGUGAAGAUCUUUCCUUGUCUAUCAUUCAUGCUUUCAUCAGUCAUUGACAGGAUUUUCUUAGAAGCAGGUGAAGGUGGUGGGUCGAGUAUAUUUUGUGGCUGAGGGAUUAGAAUUGAUGCCAUUAAAGCUAGCAACACUGCCAACAGGAAACACAUAACACACUGGUUAAUUGCGGCUUACAUUUGGUCAGUUGGCACUCAGAUUAUGCUGUUGAAUUCCAUUUGUACCCUAGCAUUUGCGGUGGUUGUUUGGAAGUUCUUUUCUGGACGCAUACCAUAUGAAGAAUUUUCUUAAGAGAGUUUUUUUAUGACAAGUAUGAAGAAUAUGCUCAAAGGGUCCCGUCUGGUGUAACAUUCGUGAAGUAAAGACCCUUCCGUGUCUGUCAUGCAUGUUUUCAUCAGUGGCCAACAGGAUUUGCUUAAAAGCAGGUUAGUAGUUCUCCAAUAUUACCUGAGUACUAAAGCUUAAUGCUUAGUUGCUGAAAUUUUCUUUUGUUUCCAUGGUGUAGCAUUUGAGCACAUGUAUUUUGAGUUUAAUUUUGGCAUUUCUAGUUGUAAUGGGUGAAUGCCAAGUAUGUUUUACUGGUUUGGUAGAUAAAGGAUGCCAUGGACACACUUUUAUGCUUUCUUUCUAGCUGCUUAAAGCUUCGGGAGAUACCGCUGUUUGUACUUAAUUGCACCCUGAAAAUAAUACACACAGAAUAUGUUCAAAAUCAAUGAAAUUUAUACUUGAAUGUCGGGUGUGGCUUAUGUAAAAUCAAAACCUUACCUGAAAAUUUACUCUCGUGUGUUUUUCUUUAUGUUCAUUACUCGUACCAAUUUUCCAAACAGCGUUGAAUGGUAGCAAAAACUAAUGAAGAAAAGAACAUUUUUUUAAGCGUGGAUGCAUCAUAGAUAUUUGCAUUUGACAUUACAAUUUCCAAUAAAUAAUAUAAGUCCACACAACCUGCUGUGAUCUCGUACCAAACAACUAGUGUGACAUUAGCAAUAUGAGUGGUGGAUUUCACCCUUUGUCACUUUAAAGAAGACGAAAAGAAGUUGCACUGAAUUAUGUAUUUCCUGGCAAUGCCAUGAAUCCCUUGAUUUAUGCUGACCAAACAUUUGGGUCUUUGGAAGGAGUAGGAAUCGGGACCUGAGUUGUAAAACUGGCUUCUGAAUGAGAGUGCAUUAUUUAGGGAUUAGGCUAUGUUUAGUUCAUCUAGUAUUUAAUUACUGAUCCUUGGUAAGCCUACAUGUAAAAAGAUAAAUAAUAUUAUCCAAAAAUAUACUCAAAACAAACUCAUUCUAGAUUUAUCUCAAUACAUGUAUACAUAGAUUUCUUUCUAAUUUUUAGGUUGUGAUCAACGAUAAUGUCUAACAAAAAAAAAGAAAAAAGAAUUGAUAUUGAUAAGGUUUGACCACAGAAGUCAUACCUAGCCUAUUAUUUUUGAGAGUUGGGACAGUGAAAGUCUUUGGAGCUCUGAAAGUAUUGCAGAUCAAUUUCUGAAACCUGUAGAAAAUGAAGUAAUCAAAUUCAUAAGAUUUACCGUGCUUUGAAAUGGGAAACCAACCAACCUAGAUCAAGUUAUGGUGCUGUAUAAUGCAAAACAACCAAAAAUAAAACCAUUUUAUACAAAGACAAGAAGUUUAGCAAAGAAGAAUGGAAAGGGAAGUUUAACAUUAAAAACUGAUGCUCAGGAAUGAAGAAUACAUGGGGAUCUUAUCCAAAUAGGAUUACAUAUGAAGUUACUUGGGCAGAAAUAAUCAGGAGAAAGGCAAGCCUUAAAUAUAAACUAUAUAGGUCUGGAUAUAUUGUCCACUUGAUAAACUGAGUUGCUGAUGUGAGUUGUAGUUUAUGAGUAGACUAACUUUUCCAGACUGAUCUGAGAGAGUACAGGCUCCCCCGUUACAGAGUUGCAUGCAUGUGUGUCCCUCAGGCACAGGCCAGAACGAGCAUGUGCUACUAGUUAUGGCUGAUAGCUUCUCUUCCAUUAACUUUAUAAGCGUUGAGGAUGGUCAUGUCUUUUAAUGAUAUCGGGUAAAAAGUGAUUGACAAAAGUACAAGGGAUAUGUAACUUAAGAAAAUGAGUUAUUCUGAAAUAGAUAAACUGGAUUUCAGAAAAUGUUGGAGAAAACGAGGAUAUGGUUCCCAUUAAGAUGAUGAUGACAUAACAUCCCAACUAAUGCCACCCGUAGAUGGGAGGAGGAGGAGGAGGAGUUGGUUCUGAUGUCGGUGAUAUCUGAGCUUUUGCUGGAGCUGGUAUAGGGGCUGGUGGUCUGCGUACUGGUGGUUUUCGCCGUCUGCGAAGAGUCUGAAGUACCCUUGUGGGUCGUCUGGGAAGUGUCUCUGAUACUUCUUGGUGAACUAACCCACUUGGUUGAGAGUGUAUUAGUCGGCCGUUUAAAAUCUCGAGGUACUGGGACUUGGAAGUCAAGGCUAUAGUAGCUAGCAUGGCCACUAACAGCAGACUUGCCACGUUUUUGAAUCCCAUUAGUUUCAACACACAACUCUAAGAAGAAACCAGAACUUGUGAGCAGAAACAGAGUUGGUAGAAAUUAUGGUAGGUUUGUGAGGGUAUUAUAUUAUGGAGUUAAGGAGUUUGAUUAAGUUAAGCUAGUACUAUUAAUUUUUCCUGAUCUUUAUUUAAUUAAUAAUGUCAUUGUACGGUUUUGUACCCACUUGAUUUAUAAUUUACUCGUAAUAACUAAUAAGCAAGAGACGCAAACUUGGUCA